rnacentral:rRNA from 1 species
GACGAACGCUGGCGGCGUGCUUAACACAUGCAAGUCGAACGAAGAGCGAUGGAAGCUUUCUUCUAUCAGUCUUCGUGGCGAACGCGUGAGUAACGCGUAAUCCACCUGCCCUUCAGAGGGGGACAACAGUUGGAAACGACUGCUAAUACCGCAUACGAUCUAAUCUCGGCAUCGAGGAUAGAUGAAAGGUGGCCUCUACAUGUAAGUUAUCACUGAAGGGGGUGAUUGCGUCUGAUUAGCUAGUUGGAGGGGUAACGGCCCACCAAGGCGAUGAUCAGGAGCCGGUCUGAGUGGAAGAACAGCCACAUUGAGACUGAGACACGGCCCAGACUCCUACGGGAGGCAGCAGUGGGGAAUCUUCCGCAAUGGACGAAAGUCUGACGGAGCAACGCCGCGGGAGUGAUGACGGCCUUCGGGUUGUAAAGUUCUGUUAAUCGGGACGAAAGGCCUUCUUGCGAAUAGUGAGAAGGAUUGACGGUACCGGAAGAGAAAGCCACGGCUAACUACGUG